GAGGAGGAGGCCCAGGUAGAGGAAGAGGAGAAGAAGGAGAUAGAGGAAAAGGCCUAGAUAGAGGAAGAGGCCUAGGAAGAAGAGAAGAAGGAGAUAGAGGAAGAGGCCUAGGUAGAGGAAGAGGAGAAGGAGGAAGAGGCCUAGGUAGAGGAAGAGGUAGAGAAGGACUUGAAGAGUUGAUAGAACCUGAACAUAGAAGACGAGGACCAAAUUUGACUCAAGAAAUCCGUGCA